rnacentral:rRNA from 1 species
UGCUGGAGGUAUCAGAAGUGCGAAUGCUGACAUAAGUAACGAUAAAGCGGGUGAAAAGCCCGCUCGCCGGAAGACCAAGGGUUCCUGUCCAACGUUAAUCGGGGCAGGGUGAGUCGACCCCUAAGGCGAGGCCGAAAGGCGUAGUCGAUGGGAAACGGGUUAAUAUUCCCGUACUUGGUGUUACUGCGAAGGGGGGACGGAGAAGGCUAUGUUGGCCGGGCGACGGUUGUCCCGGUUUAAGCGUGUAGGUGUGUGUUCCAGGUAAAUCCGGUUCACUUUAACA